ACAAAAGCACUUUCCUAAACCCAUCAGAGCUGUCUGCACUCCCUGGCCUCAGUGCGUGUGGGUGGUGUGGCAGGCUGGGUUGGGGCUGCAGGGGCUGGGGGCUGAAGGUGGGUUGGGGCUGCUGGUGCCUCCAGCUGGCAGAUGGUUGCAGGGGACUGCAGGCUCCAGCUGGGAGGCAUUACCAGCUCCUGCUGCAUCUCCAGUGGAAAGCAGGACGAGUGGUGGAGGGGAAAUGAAAUGGUCAGCAGGGAUGGAGGGAGCACAGGGAGGAGCAGCCGCUCUCAAAAAGGAGUUUGUAGUGAUGGCAAAGCAGUGUGACUCCUUGAUCCUCUGGCUUCUCUUAGGGUAGCAGGAAUCCCCAAGCCAUAAAAAAUGUGGGUCUGGCUCCUGUUUGAUGCGAGGGGACCUCACACGUGAGCUUGUGGAGUAGUGUGUGUCCUGCCCGAGCCCACAGCAUCCUGCCUCUGUUCAGGAGCACCGUGGGUUUGCACGAUUUAAAAUUAACAUCUAGCUUGGGACAGCAUUUCACUUUCUCCAGGCAUCCUGCUCUAGCAGAUGUCUCCAGGCUCUGCGGUCAGAGCCACUUAAGAACUAAGAAAAGCCACAGGACGAUUUCCAGCGGGAAGCGCGGGCGGGAUGCGGAGAGGCUGCCCCUGCGCCCGUGCCCAGCGCGGUUCGGGGCGGCCCCGAGCACUUCCCUUGCCCUCCAGCAGGCUCGGGGGCUUUGCUGCUCCCUGCGCUUUCCCAGCGCUCAAAACGGUUUUGUAAAACUCGGGAACGAACUGCAACAGGGCAGCGCGUUCCCGUCCCGGCUGAGCCACGGUAAGAGCCGCCGUCCCCGUCGGGCAGAACACCCCGGCCAGGCUCGGGGACGCGCACCGGCUCCCCCGGGCUGCGCGCUCCCGGCUCGGGCGGCUCCAUCCCGUCCCCCGCGGCCGCCGAGCAUCCCGGGGCGGGGCGGGCUGGGCUGGGCUGCGCGGCGGGCGGGGGUGGCUCCGGGGCCGCCCCCAUCGCCCGCUUCCUCCCCCGGGCCCCGGCCGGAGCCCGUUGCCCUCCCUGCGGGCGGUAGCGGGGCCGCAUCCCGGGCGUGCGGUCCGGCUGCGCCGCGGGACGGGCCCGAGGGACGGCGGAGCAAGAGGUACCUGGGGACAUCACUUCGAGGUGCUCUGUGCCCGUGUCUGCAGCAGCCUUGGCUGGCAGAGGGUGACUUUGCCCCUCAGAGCAUCGUGAGUGACACUGUGAGAGCUGCCCACACACGUGAGCCUGCAGGUGCCAGUUAAGCUGCUGCUGCGCGGUGCCGGUGGUGAUGAGGACGGGAGGCUGAGGUGGCUCCCUCAGCCCUCCAUGACCGACGGGGACGGAGCUGAG
rnacentral:lncRNA from 1 species